rnacentral:rRNA from 1 species
GCGCUUAACACAUGCAAGUCGCACGAGAAAGUGGAGCAAUCCAUGAGUACAGUGGCGUACGGGUGAGUAACACGUGGAUCAUCUACCUCUUGGUGGGGAAUAACCCUGGGAAACCGGGGCUAAUACCGCAUAAGCCUGCAAAGGGAAAGCAGCAAUGCGCCGAGAGAGGAGUCCGCGGCCGAUUAGCUGGUUGGUAGGGUAACGGCCUACCAAGGCAAUGAUCGGUAGCCGGCCUGAGAGGGCACACGGCCACACUGGCACUGAAACACGGGCCAG